AUCUUGCCAAUGCCGCCAUCCUUUCCCACUUGGUUGGGGAAAAUGUCAUGAGAUUCAUCGUGCUUGAGAGGUGGAGAUGGAAAUGAAGUCGUUUUUACCAGUGCAUGUGACAGGAGUAAGAGAAGAGCGAAGUUGGAAAAUGGGUAAGAACAUAUGUCUGCAUCCCUGUCAUUUCAGAUUUAAACACUUCACUGGAAGAACCAUCUGUCUACCUGGUGGCUUCCUCAAAAUGAUACGGCCAUUGCCGCACCAAAUUAUCCAUGUGCAUGUCUACGUGACGUACAUCCAGUUUAAUCCUGUCAAUGAGAAGUGGGUUGAUGUGUUGUCCAAAUUGCAUGUCGAUGAUGAGUGGGCAGAGGAGUAACACAUGAUGAAAAUUCCAAUGGAUAACAGAAGAUACAAGCAUCAGGGGCCGUGAAGCCCAUGAGGCGUGAGCGGUUUGGGACGUCGACGGCAGCGAUGACGCCCGGGCGGCCGGUGUGGCAGAGGAGGAUACUGAUGGGGAUGCGGUGUGAGCUGCCGCGAUUCAGCGGGCUCAUACUGUACGAUGAGCAAGGCCGACGCCUCCAUCUCGGCACUCUGGGCAGAAGAAACCAUCUCCAGUGAUGUUGCAGGGUUUUUUGGCUAGAGCCGGAAACGAACAUUGCGGAGGUGAGCAGCAAAAAAUUGUCGGCGCCCAGGAGCGGAGCUGUGUGCUGGAGAUCAAGGGGACACUCGCGUGAUGGGCAGCGAUGAAGAAGAUUGAGAAGCAGCUCCUAGGUGCUCCUGGGCAGCGAGGAAGAGGAUCGAGCGAAGUUGUGCGUGCUGGAGAUCCUGGCGACUAGGGAUCGAGGGGACCAAGGGAUUGAGGGUAGCGACGACCUGGGGAGGAGGAGAAGCAGCUCCCAGGUGUGGAAGCCAUGAAGAGCACUGGCGACCUGGGGAGGGCGAGAAGCAGCGACAAUG